GGCUGUAGCUCAGUGGCAGAGUACUUGCCUAGAAUAUGUGAGGCUCUGGGUUCAAAUCUCAGCACCA
rnacentral:tRNA from 1 species